UAGAGUUUGAUCAUGGCUCAGAUUGAACGCUGGCGGCAUGCCUUACGCAUGCAAGUCGAACGGCAGCGGACCUUCGGGUGCCGGCGAGUGGCGAACGGGUGAGUAAAGUAUCGGAACGUACCUUUCAGUGGGGGAUAACGUAGCGAAAGUUACGCUAAUACCGCAUAUUCUGUGAGCAGGAAAGCAGGGGAUCGCAAGACCUUGCGCUGAUUGAGCGGCCGAUAUCAGAUUAGCUAGUUGGUGGGGUAAAGGCCUACCAAGGCGACGAUCUGUAGCGGGUCUGAGAGGAUGAUCCGCCACACUGGGACUGAGACACGGCCCAGACUCCUACGGGAGGCAGCAGUGGGGAAUUUUGGACAAUGGGCGCAAGCCUGAUCCAGCCAUGCCGCGUGAGUGAAGAAGGCCUUCGGGUUGUAAAGCUCUUUCGGCCGGGAAGAAAUCGCAUGGGCUAAUACCCUGUGUGGAUGACGGUACCGGAAUAAGAAGCACCGGCUAACUACGUGCAGCAGCCGCGGUAAUACGUAGGGUGCGAGCGUUAAUCGGAAUUACUGGGCGUAAAGCGUGCGCAGGCGGUUUUUUAAGAUAGGCGUGAAAUCCCCGGGCUCAACCUGGGAACUGCGCUUAUGACUGGAAGACUAGAGUAUGGCAGAGGGGGGUGGAAUUCCACGUGUAGCAGUGAAAUGC
rnacentral:rRNA from 1 species